rnacentral:piRNA from 1 species
UCCAAGCAAUGGGUGGAUAAUAAGGCCAA